GAACUACUCGUUGGUGGUGACACUGCCACUGCUGCCUGGUGGGGACAAGCCCUGGAUGUGGCCCGGGUGACCAGCUACCUGGUGAAGGAGAAGUUGCUGUGGCCACUCCGAGAGCUGUCCAGGGCAAAUGUGUUGCCAAGUCCUACCGGCUCAGACACCACCUGCUGCAGGGUCCCCAGGAGUACCAUGCCCUGGUGGCCAGGGCCCAGCCUGUGGUGACUUUCAAUGGCCAGGUGUGGGACCUCAGCACCCAGUGCAGCAGGGUCCUUCUGGCCCAAGGCUUUUCUCACAACACAUUCUCCCUGAUGCUGAGUCAGAGAGGCUUGGGGCGCAUGGCCCUGACCAUGGAGCUGAACCACAUGACCUCAUCUUCUACCCAAGCCUGCAGGUGAGGAGGAGAGGCCCGGGCUUUCCCUGUAGACCUGUGCCUGUGGCAGGUCACCUGAGGGGAUGGCCCUUUCAAGCUUGUCCCAUUUGUGGGUCAGCCCUCCUGCCCACCCACUCUGGCCCACAGGCUUACAGGCUGUACAACUCCUCCGUGCUGGGGGAGAGCUGUCCAGACCUCCAGCUGCCUCCUGCCAUGACAAGGAGGGAUGUCAUCAGGAUUGAGCUGGCCAGUGAGGACGGGGUCUCUGUCACCUGUGACGUGCCCACCAGCCACUGCAGCCUGACUCUGGGCCUCUGGCAUCACGGCAGAUCCACCAGCCUUCUGGGCACCAACGACAAUGAAGCAGGCAAUGAGCUGAUGUUGCUGGACAGCUCUGUGGUCCACAGCCCAGAGGAGCUCAGCCUGGUCUGGCAGGUGAGCGGCUGCACAUGCCCUUCCUCCCUCCAGCUGAGGCUCUGUAGGGCUGCUCGCUGCAGAGUUCCAGGAAAGGCAGGUGGCUUGCUGGCUCUGCAGAGACUUUAUAGGCCCAAGGUUUGGAGGAAUCUCCUGCUGAGGUUGCUGUAUGUUGGGGAGCCACAUGGUCCAGCGAGAGGCCUGAGUCUUAUCUGUUCUGCCAGGUGGAUGGUGACUGCAGGGCCACCAAGAAGACUCAGCAGGCCUGCCCAGGACAGAGGCCCAACUGCCGGGCCUUCUUUCAGGAUGCCCCGCUCCAGCUUGGGGAACUGCUUCUGGGUGCUCCUUGAUGAGGGCAAGAUUCUUGGCUGGGACAGAAUAACCAGCAUGGAAUGCUGGGAAACUCAGAACCACACGUGCUGCAAAUGCAGGGAAGAAGAGCUGUUUGCCACUGCGCUCAAAAUACUUCUGAGGACAUGAAACUCUCUCAAUCGUCUGGGUAAUUCUCCCCCUUGCUUCACAUCUCCACUGUAAACCAAGAGAUAGCGCGGCCAGUGAUUUCCAGGCCUGCAGAGAGAGCUCUACCCAGCUCCUGUUCAUGCCCAAGGUAUUUAUUCAACAGCCAUGUGGGAAGCCACCGCUUCAGAAUGCUGACUGCGUGGAGGGGGACACGAAGCUGGGUUCUCAGCUGCCUGGUCCUGGCUUUCCCUGCCUGAUCCAGGGGUCUCCUGAGGCAGGAGGUUCUUUGAGGGGAACUGAUAGCUCUUCAGAAGCCCAGGUAGAGAACUGCUGUCUUUGGGGUAGACACACUGGGACUGAAUGCUUUGGAGGGCCUCUGUUCUUGUGGGGACACCUGUGAACUCAGGCCCCUAGGCUACAGCAUUCAAAGUUUUUUACUUUCUUUUUGAACAUAAGCUUUUCCUUGGAGUUUUCAACUGAAAAAUAAAGCUGGC
rnacentral:lncRNA from 1 species